rnacentral:rRNA from 1 species
AAACCUUGCGGCUGCCUCAUGCGUGCUAUCUGCAGUCGAACGGUAACACGUCUUCUGACGCUUACGAGUGGCGAAGGGGGGAAUAAUACAUCGGAACGUGCCCCUUCGGGGGGGAUAACUACUCGAAAGAGUAACUAAUACCGCAAUCUAUCUGAGGAUGAAAGCGGGGGACCUUCGGGCCUCGCGCGAUGAAGGCGGCCUCGAAUGCAUUAGGUAGUGUGGAUAAAGCUUACCAAGCCGACGAUGUAGCUGUGAGGAGGACACCAGCACUGGGACUGAGAACCGGCCAUCUCCUACAGGAGGCAGCGUGGGGAAUUUUGGACAUGGCGAAGCUGAUCCAGCAACUGCCGCGUGCAGGAUGAAGCCUUUCGGGUUGUAAACUGCUUUUGUACGGAACGAAAAAGACUUCUCCUAUACGAGGAGGCCGCAUGACGGUACCGUAAGAAAUAAGCACCGGCUAACUACGUGCCCAGCAGCCGCGGUAAUACGUAGGUGCGAGCGUUAAUCGGAAUUACUGGGCGUAAAGCGUGCGCAGGCGGUUAUGUAAGACAGAUGUGAAAUCCCCGGGCUCCCUGGGAACUGCAUUUGUGACUGCAUGGCUAGAGUACGGUAGAGGGGGAUGGAAUUCCGGUGUAGCAGUGAAUGCGUAAUUGCGGAGGAACACCGAUGGCGAAGGCAUCCCCUGACCUGUACUGACGCUCAUGCAGAAAGCGUGGGGAGCAAACAGGAUUAGAUACCCUGGUAUCCACGCCCUAAACGAUGUCAACUGGUUGUUGGGAAUUAGUUUUCUCAGUAACGAAGCUAACGCGUGAAGUUGACCGCUGGGGAGUCGGCCGCAAGGUUAAACUCAAAGGAAUUGACGGGAGCCGCACAGCGGUGGAUGAUGUGAGUUUGAUUCGAUGCACGACGAAACACCCUACACCACCUUUCGACAUGGCAGGAAGUUUCAAGAUGGAUGUGCUGAAAGAACCUGCACACAGGUGCUGCAUGGCUGUCGUCAGCUUUGUCGUGAGAUGUUGGUUAAGUCCGCAACGAGCGCACCCUUUCAUUAGUUGCUCAUUUAGUUGGCACUCUAUGAGACUGCCGGUGACAACCGGAGGAGGUGGGAUGACGGUCAAGUCUCAUGGCCUUAUAGGUGGGGCUACACACGUCAUACAUGGCUGGUACAGAGGGUUGCCAACCCGGAGGACAUCCAUACCAGUCGUAGUCCGGAUCGCAGUCUGCAACUCGACUGCGUGAAGUCGGAAUCGGUAGUAAUCGCGGAUCAGCAUGCCGCGGUGAAUACGUUCCCGGGUCUUGUACACACCGCCCGUCACACCAUGGGAGCGGGUCUCGCCAGAAGUAGGUAACCUAACCGCAAGGAGGGCGCUACCACGGCGGAUUCAAUUGCG